ensembl:lncRNA
CUUCUAUGAAUUUUAAUUCUUCAUUUUUCAACAGAUUAUAAAGCCACAUUUCCGGAUGAAGCUUCAUAAUAUGAUUUUAAUGUGUGUUUUGCAGUGUUUUGACCACAGACAGUCAGUUUGUACUUUGAGCCUAUUGCCAUGGAAUUUAUGUCAAAGUAUGUCUAGUCAGGGUGAGAUACUUUAUCACAGAUGAAGCACAAAUCUUACAGGUACAGAUAAGGCCCAGGGCCUCAUUUAUAAAACAUUGUGUAGGCUCCACACUAAAAGUUUGACUACGCCGAAAAUCUGAAAUAGGUGUACGCCAAAAAAUAUUCUGAUUUUUAAAACUGUGCCUACGCACAGCUGCACGCAAUUUCCCAUUUAUAAAUCACACUCCAGCUGGAAGAUUGCGCAGGUGGAUCCACCUCACAUCCUGCCCACGACACACCCACAUUUUACCAUGAAUGGUCAAUGCAAAGUAACUCAUGAAUGUAUUUGCAUAUAAAUAAGCUGCUGAUCCAUGGCAUUUUAUGCUCAGUCAUAGUAGAAAAAAGAAAACGAAAUUUUUCGGAGACCGAGAUAGAGGUGCUUUUGGAUGAGGUGGAGGCCAGGAAGAGUAUUUUGUUUGGUGGUCAUAGUAGUGGCAUCACUAACAAAAGAAAAGGCACUGAGUGGCAGCAAGUUGUCACCUCUGUCAACAGUGAGUGCCACAGAGAGAACUGUGGCAGAGGUGAAAAAGAAGUGGUCUGAUUUGAAGGUGGAGGCCAAGAAGAGAGUGACAUGCCAUCGCCAAAGCACGUCUGCUACAGGUGGAGGUAGAGGAAAACCCGAGCCCACACCUCUGGACAGCAGGAUAGCAUCCAUCCUCGGGACGGCCAGCGGGUGUGGAAUCGUGUCAGAGAAGGAAGGAGACACCGAUUUGGCAGAGCCCACAGAGGAGACCGAGUUGGAAACGCUGGCUGACGAGGAGGUUCCGACCACAGCGUGUCCUGUCACCGUGGAUGAGGCCUGGCUGUCCCCAGUACAUCCUGAGACCAUGGCACACCUAGAAGUGGUCGGAUCCUGACAGACAGAGUCCUACAAUCACAAAGGGACACCAUCUGUGCCAUAAAUGAAGUGCGGGAUGAGCUCCAGCAAAUACGCACAGUAAUGAACAACAUGUGUGAGG